rnacentral:rRNA from 1 species
UACAGAGGUCUCAAGCGUUGUUCGGAUUCAUUGGGCGUAAAGGAUGCGUAGGCGGACAUUUAAGUCAGAUGUGAAAUACCCGAGCUUAACUUGGGUGCUGCAUUUGAAACUGGGUGUCUAGAGUGCAGGAGAGGUAAGUGGAAUUCCUAGUGUAGCGGUGAAAUGCGUAGAGAUUAGGAAGAACACCAGUGGCGAAGGCGACUUCUGGACUGUAACUGACGCUGAGGCAUGAAAGCGUGGGGAGCAAACAGG